UUUCAAAAAUAAAUGGGUAAUUUGCAUCUGAAUUAUUUCAUUGAUGUGUAAUGGUAUCACCUUGGAGAACUGA